rnacentral:misc_RNA from 1 species
AACUGAUACUACCUGCGGGAACCUGCGGAGGGAUCAUUACAUGGCGGAGGAGGUGGGCACCUAGUAACCCUGGGUGUGUUGCCUUCACGCUUUCUACCCUUGUCUAUUUGCACCUUUUGUCGUUCCCUCGGUGGGUCUUGAACCUGCCGACGGCAACUUUCCCAAAACCUCUUGCAGUAGUAUCGAAUUCUUCUGAUGUAAAUAUCAAAUUUAUUACAACUUUCAGCAAUGGAUCUCUAG